UCCCUGGCAGUCCUGUGGUUAGGACAAAGCGCUUUCACUGUUGAGACCUGGGUUCAAUCUCUAGUCAGGGAA
rnacentral:tRNA from 1 species